GCUGAAACAGCUGUUUCCGUACAAUCACUGAAGUUAAACAACUUCGAGCCUGGCCAGUAUCUUGAUGGGUGACCACUUGGGAAUACCAGG